rnacentral:rRNA from 1 species
GGAUGCGAUCAUACCAGCACUAAAGCACCGGAUCCCAUCAGAACUCCGAAGUUAAGCGUGCUUGGGCGAGAGUAGUACUAGGAUGGGCGACCUCCUGGGAAGUCCUCGUGUUGCAUUCC